GACGAACGCUGGCGGCGUGCCUAAUACAUGCAAGUCGAACGCAGUGGGGACGGGUGAGUAACACGUGGGUAACCUCCCAUCAGAGGGGAUAACACUUUGCAACAGGUGCUCAACCGAUACUGCUGGAUGGACCAGCGGUGCAUUAGCUAGUUGGUGAGGUAACGGCUCACCAAGGCCACGAUGCAUAGCCGGCCUGAGAGGGUGAUCGGCAACACUGGAACUGAGACACGGCCCAGACUCCUACGGGAGGCAGCAGUAGGGAAGAUUCGGCAAUGGACGAAAGUCUGAUCGAGCAACGCCGCGUGAGUGAAGAAGGUUUUCGGAUCGUAAAACGCUGUAGUUAGAGAAGCGGUAUCUAAACAGAAAGCCACGGCUAACUGCGUGCCAGCAGCCGCGGUAAUAC
rnacentral:rRNA from 1 species